rnacentral:rRNA from 1 species
GAUGAACGCUGGCGGCGUGCCUAAUACAUGCAAGUCGAGCGGACAGACGAUGAUCUUGCUUCUCUCAUGUUAGGGGCGGGCGUGUGAGUAACACGUGUAUAACCUACCUAUAAUACUGGUAUAACCUCGGGAAACCGGAUCUAAUACGGUAGAAUCUUCUGAACCGUGUGGUUGAAUAGUGAAAUACGGUGGUUCUGGCACGUCUAGCGGGAUCCCCGCUGCAUUAGGUAGUUGUUGAGGUCAUGGCUUACCACGGCAACUAUGCAUAGACGACCUGAUAGAGUGAUAGGCCACCCUGGAAGUGAGACAGGGUCAAGAGUCCUGCGGGACGGCGCAGUAGGGAAUCUUACGCAAUGGGCGAGAGCAUGACGGAGCAACGGCAAGUGAGUGAUGACGGUGCUCGGAUCGUAAAGCUCUGUUAUUAGGGAAGAACAUCUGUGUAAGUAAAUGUAGACAGCGUGACGGUAACUAAUAAGAAAGCACCGGCUAACUACGUG